rnacentral:rRNA from 1 species
AUGGCGACCGGCCCCGAUCUGACCUCCUCCUCCGCCGCCGACGCCGCCGCCGCGUCGUCGGCGGCCAAGAAGGACCGCCACAUCGUCAGUUGGAGCGCCGAGGAGGAUGACGUGCUUCGUGCUCAGAUUGCGCACCAUGGAACUGACAAUUGGACAGUCAUAGCCACACAAUUCAAGGAUAAGACUGCCAGACAGUGCAGGAGGAGAUGGUACAAUUAUUUGAAUACAGAGUGCAAGAAAGGCGGGUGGUCUCGUGAAGAGGAUAUGCUUUUAUGUGAGGCUCAAAAGCUUCUUGGUAACAAAUGGACUGAAAUAGCAAAGGUUGUCUCAGGCAGAACUGAUAAUGCAGUGAAGAAUCGAUUUUCUACGUUAUGCAAAAGGCGGGCCAAGGAUGAUGAACUAUUCGAGGAAAAUGGCACAGUAUGCUCCAAUGCAAGUGCAAAGAGGGUACUGACACGGUCUGGUGGCGUCACAUGUGCUGCACCUGGCUCCUCACCACCUAUUAAGAACAUGAGCUCUUGCAAACCUGAUUUCAAGGAGAACUUAGCACCAAAUAUGAAGUCAUUUGGACAGCAAAAGAGCAUACAACAGGAUUCUCGGCAACCCCUUGCUAGCAUUUGUCCAGACAAUCAGAGUGUGAAUAUUGUAAAAACCCAGAGUCUUGUCACUAAAACCUCAACAAAGCAAUUACAUGGCGAAGAACAGAGCUGUGUGAAGCAUGAGGGUAAUUUUUUGAAAAGGAAUGAUCCAAAACUUGCUACUUUACUUCAGCAAGCUGACUUGCUUUCUUCCCUAGCAACAAAAGUAAAUACUGAAAAUACAAGCCAAAGCAUGGAUGAAGCCUGGCAGAAACUACAGAAUCAUUUGGUUAAGAAAGAUGAUAAUGACAUGUCAGAGAGCAGUAUGUCUGGAACAGCUUCACUCCUAGACGAUCUCGACGAUUUAAUUGUUGAUCCCUAUGAGAAUGAAGAAGAAGAUGAACAGAAGUCCAGAGAGCAGAACGGAGCAACAUCACAAAUGGCUCCUGAUCAAAUAAUGGAUAAUUGCCCAGUAGAUCAAAUCGCAGACGAAAGUAGCCUUUGUGGAAACACACUAUCUAGUACUAUGGAACCUUGCCCAGCUAAAUCAGUUGCAGAAAUUCUAGCUCAUAUAAACUUGGGUGAGGCUGCCGAAGAUAUGGGGCUUCAUUUCAUGGAAUACAGUUCUCCUACUCAUGCAGCUCAAGCUCAGCAAGCUAAAGCAGAUGCAGAAAUACCAGCGUCUGUAGACUUGAGUGAGUCUGCCGAAGGUAGCUGGUCUCAGAUUAUGGAAUACACAUCUCCCGCUCGUACAGUUUUGCAUGCUAACAGUUCUCCUGCUCAUACAGUUCAAGCUCAGCAGGCUAAAGCAGAUGCAGAAAUACCAGUGUCCGUAGACUUGAGUGAGGCUGCUGAAGGUAGCUGGUCUCAGUUUAUGGAAUACACGUCUCCUGCUCAUACAGUUUUGCAUGCUGAAGGAGAUGCAGAAACACCCGCAUCUGUAAAGUUGAGUGAGGCUGCUGAAGGCAGCCUGCCUCAGUGUAUGGAACAUAUGUCUCCUGCUCAUACACUUCUGCGAGCUAAAACAGAUUCUGAAAUACCAGCAUCCGCAAACUCGAAUGAGGCUGCAGAAGGUAGCUGGUCUCAGUUUAUGGAAUACAUGUCUCCUGCUCAUAUAGUUUUACAUGCUAAAGCAGAUGCAGAAACACCAGCAUCCAUAAAUUUGGGUGAGGCUGCCGAAGGUAGCCUGCCUCAAUGUAUGGAACCCAUGUCUCCUGCUCAUACACUUCUGCGAGCUAAAACAGAUUAUGAAAUACCAGCAUCAGCAAACUUGAGUGAGGCUGCCAAAGAUGACAGUCUUCAGUGUACAGAAUACACCUCUCCUGCUCGUGCAGAUUUGCAAGCUAACGCAGAUGCAGAAAUAUCAGAGAAUUUCAGUGAGGUUGCCCAAGAUAGCAGGCUUCAAUGUGCUAAAUUUACUUCCCCUGCUCACACUGCUAUCAAAGGUAAAGCAGUUGCGAAGAAAGGAACUUCAGAGAACUGCAGCGACGUUCCCGAAGAUAGCAGCACCCAGCCAUGCAUGGAAUUCACCUCUCCUGCUCACACAGUUCCAACUUUCCAUCCAUUCACAGAUAACGUGCCAACUCCAAAAAUUACUGCCAGUGAGAGAAAUUUUUUGCUGUCUGUGCUUGAGUUGGCCUCACCUGGAUCGAAGCCAGAAACUUCUCAGCAGCCUUCUUGCAAAAGGGCUCUUCUUAAUAGCCUUUGA